UAUGGAGGAUGCGAGCGUUAUCCGGAUUUAUUGGGUUUAAAGGGUGCGUAGGCGGGAUGCCAAGUCAGCGGUAAAAAUGCGGUGCUCAACGCCGUCGAGCCGUUGAAACUGGCGUUCUUGAGUGGGCGAGAAGUAUGCGGAAUGCGUGGUGUAGCGGUGAAAUGCAUAGAUAUCACGCAGAACUCCGAUUGCGAAGGCAGCAUACCGGCGCCCUACUGACGCUGAGGCACGAAAGCGUGGGUAUCGAACAGG
rnacentral:rRNA from 1 species